CUACGGGUUGCCCCAGUGGGGAAUAUUGCACAAUGGGCGAAAGCCUGAUGCAGCGACGCCGCGUGGAGGAUGACGGUUUUCGGAUUGUAAACUCCUGUUAAGUGGGAGGAAAAGCUCGCAAGUAAUAUGUGCGAGUGUUGACGUUACCACUAGAGAAAGCUCCGGCUAACUUCGUGCCAGCAGCCGCGGUAAUACGAGGGGAGCAAGCGUUAUUCGGAAUUACUGGGCGUAAAGGGCGCGUAGGCGGUCUACCAAGUCAGUUGUCAAAUUCCUUGGCCUAACCAAGGGUCGGCAAUUGAAACUGGCAGACUAGAGUAUGGAAGAGAGAAGUGGAAUUAUCGGAGUAGCGGUAAAAUGCAUAGAUCCCGAUAGGAACACCAAUGGCGAAGGCAGCUUCUUGGUCCAUUACUGACGCUGAGGCGCGAAAGCGUGGGGAGCAAACAGGAUUAGAUACCCCUGUAGUC
rnacentral:rRNA from 1 species